GUGAAAUUGGAUCCCAUUAAAACAUGGAGUUAGUGGAAUGGUGACAGAUGGGCCCUGCUGGGCAGAAGAUCAUUGAACAAGAUUGGGACUUGCUGGGUGAUCACAGAACUGCAAGCAACUCCAACAACUGUCUCUGGCCCUGAUUUUGACCCAGACUUCCGCUCUGCAUCACAGCUCCUUGUUGAUUGUGCAUGAAAGUAAUUUAGCAACUGAAGGCAUAAACAUAUUUGAAGAUACUUUACAGAUGAAAACUGGAAGACA